rnacentral:lncRNA from 1 species
AAUCCGCUGAAGGGCAAGUUCCCGCUCUUCUACAGCUGUGGGCCGACUGCCUGAUUUUGGCCACUAGGUGGAGUAUGGCUCUAGGGUUUCGAGGCCGCUGGUGUCGGCGGGCGGAGUCCGGGUUUGCAGCCGCUGUCCCACAGGCCCACCAUGGUCUGACUAAAUGCUGGCACUGCUCAUACAUCCACUUUUAAAAAUUGAGUUGAACAUGAGAACAUGAUCAUUCAUAUUUUAUCCACUUGCAUGUAUUCAAUAACAUCCUUUCCCUGUUCUCGUCUCUGCUUUACCGCCUUUUUCUUUAAAGAAUGAAUGUUUCCAUGUUUUAUAUCCACAGAAUUUCUGGUUUUUCCCUUUGGAGCCCAAGAAGCAAGGGCAGAAUGAGGAACAUGAUGUUUCUUACAGACAGUUACUCAUGA